rnacentral:tRNA from 10 species
GGCGGAUGUAGCCAAGUGGUUAAGGCAGU